UACCUUGAAUGAAUUCACUUAUUUUCCAUUUGUUAAAUUUUGUUUUUAUAAUGUAAAAUUUGUUCUAUAUUGAGGAUUAUUUCAUGGACAAUCAAAAAGAAUGUAGACAGAGUUCCCAUCGUGGCUGAGCAGGUUAAGAAUCUGACAAUGUCCGUGAGGAUGGGGAUUUGAUCACUGGCCUCCCUCACUGUGCUAAGGAUCUGGCAUUGCCAUAAGGUAGAUUGCAGAUCUACCUAGGAUCUGGUGUUGCUGUGGCUGUGGUAUAGGUUGCAGCUCCAAUUUGACCUCUAGCUUAGGAACUUCCAUAUGCUGCAAGUGUGGCCAUAAAAAAAAAAAGAAUAUGGAGUCUAGUGUCGCUGGGUGUUAUAUUCUAUGAAUAUCAGGUAGACCCAACUGGAUGAUGGUGAUAUUCAAUUCUUUAUACUUGCUGAUUUACUAUCCACUUCUUUUAUCAAAUACUAAGAAGUAAUGAAGUCUUCAGAGCCAUAAUUAUGAAUUUGUGUAGUUCUUGUAUCAGAUCUAUCCAUUCUUGCUUCAGGUAUUUGAAGUUUCGUUAAGAUCAUAUAUACUCAGAAUAAUUAUGGUGAACUGAUCCUUUUAUCACCAUGUAAUACUUGAAAAAAUUCUUGGAAGUUUUCCUUGCUCUGAGGCCUAUUUUGUAUAAUAUAAAUAUAUACCCUCCAGCUAUCUUUUGAUGGGUGUUUGAAUGGCAUCAUUCUUCAUCCUUCUAUUUUUAACUUAUGUAACUUGCUUAAAUCCAAUGGAGAAUGUUGAUUUGUUGUGGUUGUUUCUGUCACUGUUGUUUCAGUAGUCUGGUUAGUUUCCACAUAUUUUGACUUACAUUCUGUGGACUGUGGUUCCAGCAUCAGUUCACUAUCCAAAACUUUUGCCAUGCCACUUACAUUUUCCUGUGUGUCCCCCACCCAGUGGCCAGUUUGGGGUCUGGGCUAUAGUCUACUCCAUAGUUCAGUUCUCAAAACUUUUAAUAUGCAAUUCAGCGUGAGAUCGAUGCUGGCUCAGGGGUGAGCCCAAACACUCAUAUACAUUUUGUGAGACCAUUUUCACAGGCUGUCUCCUCCAUUCACUCUCUCCAACACUCUCCAGCCCUCAAAGGCUUUCCUUUCUGAUCUUCUGGCUAAAGAGCACAGGCUUGAGUUUCCGUGCUCUACUGAACACUUUCCUUGACUGAGCUGGCCUCUGGAGCCAGAUUCCUUGAAAGCCUAGAAGAGUCACUGACAAGUCCAAAGUUUAUGAAUCUUUUGAAAUUUUAGGCUUAUUUUUGUAUAAAUGUUCGUAUAUACCUUCUUUCUUUCCUUUUUUCCUUAGAACCAACUUUGCGUUAUCAGUGAUCCCAAAAGUAUCAAGAAUCUUCUAUCAGAAGCAAUAGAAUAAAGGAGGUGCACAGACAAAGUGACUUCAUUUAUUUUCCUGGUUCCAAAUGUCCAUGUGGCUUUUGACAAGUUAAUUUUCUAAGCUUUCAUUUUUUCAACUGGAAGCCCUAAAAAAUCUCUGAUGGUACAGUUCUGGGACUUUACCUAUUUUCAGUCAUCUAUUUCCAAACUUACGACUUCAUUUUUGCCAAUACUCCCAACCAGUGUGUUUAUUUUAAAAAAUUUAAUUUUACCAAACUAGAAACACAUCAACUAAUCAUUCUUUUUUUUCACUGAGCUUCAAUUCUACUGAAGCCAUUAGAUUAAGACACCCAAACUUUUAUAUCCAUGCUUCAGGGUCUUCCACUCAAUUCUACUCUCAAUGCCUCUUAGAGACUUAUUCAAUGUUUCCUUAGACAAAUGACCAUCAGACCUUACUCUCUCAUGGCCCAGUGACUGUUAUUUAUUUGUUAUCUAUCUCCUGGCAAUAGUGACUAUUGCUUGCCUAUGGCAUAAUUUCUCUUUCUCAGAUCAAGUUCACAAGAGAAAAAGCACAUCUAUAUCCAAUUGGAUACCUCUCAUCUUUUCAUGAGCAGUGAAGUAUGUUGUUUUCUGCACACACUGUAACUGGAGAACCAACUGUUUAAAUACUAAAACUGGCCAUAAACCGAAGUAUUUAAGUGGGGGACGUGUCUUGAGUUGCUUGCUGUACUCUGUCUCUGCUUGCAAUCCCUUUUUUGUCCUCUCAGCACUUAGCUCAAGCUAUUUAACUGGCCAGAAUCCCCAGACUUGCCUGUUCUGUAUAAAAGGGGAAAUUAUUAGGAUAAAUGCAAUCAUACUGAACUGCACAAGUCAUACUCCUUCGGGGAGCAUUUGCAUUUUAAAUAAACUUGUCAAGAUAGUUUUGCCCCUUUAUCUUAAUUCUGGAUUUUCUAGAUGAUGACACACAAAAAGAGGGGUUAGUAUGAAGCAGAGGCACCUCUAAUUUGUUUUAAAAAUCCUUCUGCAAAUGCAAAAGAUUGAAAAUGACAAGAAUAUUUUGUUUUGUUUGACUGGAGAGGAGAGGUAUCUGCAUGAGUGUAUGAAAAAGAUAAUUUGCACAAUGUGUUUUCCAAAAGAUUCUAAGCUUCGAAAUACUUAUAAAAUCAGAUGGAGAAAUGAGCGAUGGAAAUGUAUUACCUUCCUUUGAAUUUAAAUUUUUUUUUUCUCUUUUAUGAUCACACCUGCAGCAUGUAGAAGUUCCCAGGCAAGGGGUUGAAUCAGAGGUGCAGCUCCUGGCCUACACCAUAGUCAGAGCAACAUGGGAUCUGAGCCGCUACUGCAACGUACGCCACAGCUUGAAGAAACACCAUAACUUAACCCACUGAGCAAGGCCAGGGAUUGAACCCAUGCUCAAAGACACUAUGUUAGGUUCUUAACUCACUGAGCCACAAUAGGAACUCCUUACCUUCCCUUAAAAUGCAUCUCUGACACACUCAAACUGAAUGCAUUAAAAACUCUUCACAAACUCUGUAUGGUGAUAAUAUAAUAAUGAUCUGCAAUGAUUUAUAAAAUACUUCCUAUUCUUCAGUCAUACUAAUAUGGUCACAAGUACAAAAAAAGUCUAUUUCACCUACAAAUAGCUAUUAUACCUGACUACAUAUAAUGUAUAUUUCUACUUGAACUGUAGAAAACUAUUUCAUAUAGUGUUUUAUGUAGAGCAAUAGUUUAGCAAAUGUUUCUAAGAAAAAGGGAACCCAUGUAGCUAUAAAUUGCAUCCCCUUUUGGAGAUUUAAAAUAUAUUUGACCCUAUAAAAAGCUCUAAGUGGCUCUGCAAUAAAGAAAUAUAACUUUUUGGGAAAAAUUUUUCCCAAAUCAAUCAUACUACUGAACUCUUCACAUGACGCCCAUUACCAUUGUACUGCAUAAGAUAUUUUGGGAAACAUUCUGGUAGAUUCUUGUCAUUUGGGAGGAAUAUAUUCUAGCUUUUAUAAACCCCAAAUUCACAAAUACCACUGCAGCAUAUAAUCUCUAUCACGAAUUACACAAAUGUCACUCCUUAUCAACAGGCAUUGAAAUAGUUUGUUGAAUUGUUUUUGGUAAGGAGUAUGGGGUAAAUUCAAUAAUGUCCUAAAUCCCAUUACUGUCCAUUGAAUUAGACAUUAAUCUCUGCACUUACCCCAAACUAAAAUUUACAUGUGUGCCUACAUGUAUGGAAAUCAAGGCUAAGCACUUACUUGAUUUUAUCAACACCUUUUGCAAGCUAGUUCAGACUUAUGCCACAUUAAAAUUCAAUAAAUAUCUUUUGGGACACUCCAGCCCCUCCAUACAAAGAAUGAUACUUUUGACCCAAAUUCUGGUAGUAAAUAACCUUUUUGCACCAGUCUUCUUUUCCAAAUAGAGGGAAAUAGGACACUAAUUUUAUCUACAUCUCCAUAUCCUGUAUUUCUUCAGUGAUUAACAAUCUUUUUCUUAGUGAAGAUUGUUGGACACCAACUUUCUCCCUAUUGCUAUUGAGGUCAACACUUAGCAUAUUUUUAAUAAAAAAUAAAGAAUAUUAGAUGAAAUUAUGAAGAACAGGGUUAACGUAAUGACUGACAUAGAAAGAAAAAAUAAAAUCACCCUCAUAUACCCAUUUUCCUAAAUACAAUAUAUUCUUUUUUUUUUCCUAUCUCCUGUUUGACCUCUCAAAUACAAUCUAUAUAACCUGAAACAAAACAAGAGUAAAACAUAAAAGUAGAAAAUCUUCAUGUUUCAUCUUCCUUUGUUCAACUCCCCUGUCUCAUGACAGUUAAGUAGGACAAAAAUCUCUCUGAUGCAAUCUCACACUGGCAGAAAGACAAUGCUUAAUGUAUUGUCAUCUCUCUGUCUUACACCACCAUCUCCCAUUCUCAGAUGGAAACCCAUAGCACAGUAGAUGGUAUUUUAUUUAAGAUUAAACAAAACACAAACAGUGACUGGAUUACUAUGACAACAGAGUGCAUGACAUGGUUUCUGGGAAUGUUUGGCAGCUGUUUUUAAUUUUAAGUGUUUGCUCUGGUACCUUAUAUCAUGUUAGUAGUUCCAUGGGUCUCAAAAUGUGUGCCUUAGCCACUUGAAAUGUUUCACUCUUUCUGUGUACUUCAAUGCACACAGAAAUAAGGUCACAAUAAAUGACUCAUGCUCAGAACCUAGCCAUUUCACAAGCCUCGCUCAAAGAGAAUCCACAAGGUCUUCUCUUUGUGCUACAGGCCAUGGGAAAACUGUAGCGGUAAGAUUGUACUUAACCUUUCAAAAAUCAACACAGAAUUCCUAAUUACAGACCAUGUGAGUUUUAUGUGCUAUCAUUAGCUUCCAUGAAAAAAAAUUCAUGGAAAAAUAAGAAGUCACCUUUCUUAAAUAAUAUUUUUAGGUAAAAUUAAUUUAACCCUCCAUACAAUCCUGUGAUGUAUUAUUGGCUUGAUUUUAUGAAACUCGAAAACUCUGAAAGUUGAGUUCAGAGAGGUAAAGCAAUUUGUACCAAACCCACAGUUGAAAAAUAGGAGAUCCUAGAUUAAAACAGUUAGUCUGAAAUCAUGUACCUUUCUAUGUCUUUGACUGCAUUCAUGAGCAUGGUUCAGGAAAUAAUGUUUUGGGAACAUCUUUGCCUAAGAAAUAUUUAAUGAGGACAAACAGUACAGCUAAGAAUAGUGCUAUUGUUGUCAGCCUCCAC
rnacentral:lncRNA from 1 species